UAGUCCUGCCCUGCAGUUCCAUAUGCAGUCAGCUGCAGAAUCUCAUAAUUUGUUUCUCCACAUUUUAUUUUAGGGAAAAUUUGUUCAUGCUUCCCAGUUUACGGGAAUGGCACAUGCCUGAGCCAGGUCUCAUGCUGGCAGGCAUCAAAAUCCCUCCAACCUGUGCCUUUCACAUCCACACCUGGCUGGUAAUUGUCUUCCAGGGUGUGAACUAGAUCAUGACCCUGCAUUGGCCUCCUCCCUGCUGUCACUUCCUAGGCUCAGUGGCUCCAGGGAAAUAAAAGUACUCAGGCCAGGGGUUUGUGUCACAGGCUAAACUGGAGGGAGGUAGAGCUUCCUCUACAGACAAAGCUAUGAAGGGUCAAAGCUCCCUAGAUCUGUUUUACUCAUAUUUACUGCUGUUGAACAAGGAGACAGUUCUGAAUUUAGCCUCAGAGGAAAGAGUAAUUAUUUCUUUAUUCAUUCAAACCACCAGCUGGAAAGGUUUUCAGAUUUGAUUGUGUCCUUACAAAUGCUAUGUACCUGUGGGCAGCAUUGUAGGUAAAACCUACUAUCAGUAGAUUUCUCUGGCUUUGUGAGGGGCUCCUCCUUAUCUUUGAAGGUUUGUUAUAUAAAAGGAUGUUAUAUAAAAGUAUUCUGGAAAGAAGAGGUUUUAAGAAACAGUCUAGAGAAAGAGACUGAGAUUUCUGCCUGGAAGGUGUUUGCCAGCAGCCAUUUAUUGACCGAUCCAGGUGAAGAUGAUGAAGCUGGUUACAAUCCAGGUGAAGAUGGUAAAGCUGAUUACAAUCCAGGUGAAGAUGGUAAAGCUGAUUACAAUCCAGGUGAAGAUGGUAAAGCUGAUGAUUAAGCCACUGUAUGUGGUGAAAAGAAGGCAAAGAAGAAGGUAAGAGAGUAGACACAGUGUGGAUUGUGCAUGGAGGGUUGCUGUGUAACUGUGCUGAGAUGAAUGUUCUACACUGCCAUGUUUCCUGAGCAGCUCAACUUGGAUGUGUUGGACCUCCAAGCAUUGUGAGUUACUUUCACCAGGAUAUUUUUUUCUUGCUAUGAAGGAUAAGGCUGAACUUUGCUGUUCUCUCUGUACCUUUGCACUACUGGAACAGGUUGCUGCCCUUCUAAAGAAAAUUGCACCACUUUUAUUACAGCCACCUGGGAAGGUGACAACGAGGUUAUCAAGCAGUCUAGAACUCCUGCAACAGCUCCUUAAACACACUCAGCCAGGGAGGGUUCCUCGAGCUAAUGACACCUGCCUAUACUCACAAAUGAGAGCCCAGCUGUCCCUGAACUAUCCCAUCAGUGACUGCCAGCCCCAGCCUUUCACAGCUGUGAGAGUGAGGGAGGGGAGUGCUUCCAGAGGAGAUAGAGGAAUCAGAGGUGGCUGGACACCAAGGGAAUCUGUGGGUCUCUGGAGAUGUGCCUCCCCAGAGGCAGUGGCUGGACACCAGGAGAAGCUGUGGGUCACUGGAGAUGUGCCUCCCCAGUAGCUGGACACCAGGAGAAGCUGUGUGUCACUGGAGAUGUGCCCCCCCAGAGGCUGCCAGGGCAGCAGCGCUCCUGACCGGAAUGCCGGGAAUGCCGUGAUCCAGAGGUGUGCUCAGGAGGUGAUUCAACACCGCUCUGAUCAUGAUCUUACAAGCAGCUUGGGGAUUUGGUCUUGAUGGUGAGCUGAUUAUUAUUUUAUCUCUUACCAAAUUGCAUAAUUCACAGCAGUCCAAUGUUUGCAUGUUUUCCUUGUAAGCCACCCUUGCUAUUUCGUUAGUAGCUAUGCUAAAAGAGAAAAAUGCCUUUCCCCCCACAAGACUAUUUACUCUCUUUCAUGCAGACUGCUCCCAGCCUUUCUACCUCUCCACAGAACCCCGAGCCCUCUUGAAGGGUUGUAUUUCUGUAAUCACUAAACAAUCCAUUUCAGCUGGAUGCAGAAAACCAUCUUUGAUUUAAAUUCCCCCUGAAGUGACUUAACUAGGCUCCCAGUUGAGAAAACACUUUGAGAGGUGUCUGGAGUGGUUUUCUGAAGUCAGCCACCCAGAUGAGAAAGCCAAAUUUAAAGAUGUUUGUGAGUGUGCACAAUAUGCCCUCACAAGCCCACAGCCACCAGCUGCAGUGAGGGGUUGAUUGCCAGCCUCUGGAUGUGUGAUCUCUACUGGGCACUCUGAAACUCUGAGCAUCUCCCCCACUGCCUGCUGAGGGUUUGGCCUUGCUCUUGCCAAGAAUUUGACUGAAGUAAAUAUGUAAGUAAAUAAAUGGUUGAUGCAGCAGAUCUUUGCACAGUUACCUGGAGUGAAAUUAAGGUUCUGGUUAUUUAAGGGUUUGGUUGUGAUACAGAUUUUUG